UUCAUAAAUAAUUUCAAACUUAACACUCUUACUUUCGUAAGUGACUUUAAUUCAAAUCACUUGAUUACUUUCGAAAUAAUGUUAUUCGAAAUGUCAUGUCAAAUAAUAUAUUACUUUAUUUCUGAAUUGUGUAAAAUUGUUAUAGGGAUAAUGGUUUCUGUUGUAGAUGUGACAAUGAUCGCUAUAGUUAUUUACUUUUUAAAUUAAGCGUCACUGUAAGACUCGUUUUUGUGUUACUAGUUUUUUAAUUACUAGAUUAAGUUUCGUUUUUGUUCAAGGGUUUUUUUUUUUUUUAAGUCUUAUGGAGAAGAUCACAUGCGGCAGUAAUUAAUAAUGUAAUCUUCAUAUUAUCAAGUAAUCUUUUCAAACAACUCCUAACCUGAAUAAUAUCAACAGCUUCCUCUAGUUGGUAGCUAGGUUUUGUGCGUGCGUGCGCGCGCGCGCGCGCGUGUGUGUGUGCAUGAGAGUCGCUUAGUGUAAAAGAAUAAUGUCUAAGCAUAGUAGUAAAGUUUAUAUUAUACAAAUAAAUGUAGUACAAAAAUAUAAGGAAAAGGAAAUGUCAUUAAUCACGCCAGUAAAAGAUAAAUAAUAAUAACAAAAAAAAUAAUUGUGAAAUUGUUCUUGAAAAUUGUAUAGAUGUAUUCACAAGUACACGACGAUUUCGAAUUUGAAAAGGAUGAAGAUGAAUUCAUCUUUUGGCUGCACUUUGCUUUGGCGGACCUAAAAUGUUUAGGUUUUUUUACAUAACCUAAUGAUGAAUGCCAUUAAAUUACAAUAUUCUUUAUAAGUGACAAGUAAUUCAAUGGUAUUUUCUAUGAAGUAAUUUUAAUUGAACGCCAUCUACUUAAAUUUUUAAAAUUAACAUUGUUUUAAAAUCUGUUUUACCGACGGGGUAUGUCUGCAAGGCAAUAUGGCGUCGGAAGUGUCAGUUAAAUACGGUAAAAUGUCCACAUUCAACUUCUCGUAACUUAUGAAAUAGUGGAUUCUUCGCCUUGAAACUAGCAGUUUCGGAUUCUUCUUGACAAAAUCUACAGGAUUAUAUAAAAAAAACCUACAAAUUUUAGGUCCGCCAAGGAACUAAAGAUUCUAAGAAGAGAAACGAGUACUCACAUCCAUGUUCCCGGUACCGUCGAUGCUGCGUCGAUGAGUAGUAAUUGUAAGAUGACGAGCAAGAAUUCUCUUUGGAGACCUACAAAUAUUACAACGGAAUCUACUAGAUUUAUAAAGUUCAUAGCAGAAUUAAUUUAUGGAAAGAUGGAAAGUUAUUAGCAGAAUUAAUUUAUGGAAAGAUGUAAUUCCUCUCAAACACGAAGAUGAAAACAAAAACGU